GGGUGUGAUCAUACCAACACUAAUGCAUUGGAUCCCAUCAGAACUCCGCAGUUAAGCAUGCUGGGUAAGAGUAGUUGUGACGCCCG
rfam:Arabis alpina cultivar Pajares scaff_56857_1_contig_1, whole genome shotgun sequence.